CCUACGGGAGGCAGCAGUGAGGAAUAUUGGUCAAUGGACGCAAGUCUGAACCAGCCAAGUCGCGUGCAGGAAGACGGCCCUAUGUGUUGUAAACUUCUUUUGUCCGGGGAUAAACUCAGCCCCGUGUAGCUGUUUGAAGGUACCUUAAGAAUAAGGAUCGGCUAACUCCGUGCCAGCAGCCGCGGUAAUACGGAGGAUUCGAGCGUUAUCCGGAUUUAUUGGGGUUAAAGGGUGCGCAGGCGGCCGGUUAAGUUAGGGGGGAAAUGCCGCGGCUCAACCGCGGCAUGGCCGCUGAUACUGGUGGGCUCGAGUGUGGUGGAGGUAGGCGGAAUGUGUGGUGUAGCGGUGAAAUGCUUAGAUAUCACGAAGAACCCCGAUUGCGAAGGCAGCAUACCGGCUCACUACUGACGCUGAGGCACGAAGGCGUGGGUAUCGAACAGGAUUAGAUACCCGGGUAGUC
rnacentral:rRNA from 1 species